rnacentral:rRNA from 1 species
GAUGAACGCUGGCGGCGUGCCUAAUACAUGCAAGUCGAGCGAACAGACGAGGAGCUUGCUCCUCUGACGUUAGCGGCGGGCGGGUGAGUAACACGUGGAUAACCUACCUAUAAGACUGGGAUAACUUCGGGAAACCGGAGCUAAUACCGGAUAAUAUAUUGAACCGCAUGGUUCAAUAGUGAAAGACGGUUUUGCUGUCACUUAUAGAUGGAUCCGCGCCGCAUUAGCUAGUUGGUAAGGUAACGGCUUACCAAGGCAACGAUGCGUAGCCGGCCUGAGAGGGUGAUCGGCCACACUGGAACUGAGACACGGUCCAGACUCCUACGGGAGGCAGCAGUAGGGAAUCUUCCGCAAUGGGCGAAAGCCUGACGGAGCAACGCCGCGUGAGUGAUGAAGGUCUUCGGAUCGUAAAACUCUGUUAUUAGGGAAGAACAAAUGUGUAAGUAACUAUGCACGUCUUGACGGUACCUAAUCAGAAAGCCACGGCUAACUACGUG